GCGGUAGAGAGGUGCUUGCACCUCUUGAGAGCGGCGGACGGGUGAGUAAAGCCUAGGAAUCUGCCUGGUAGUGGGGGAUAACGCUCGGAAACGGACGCUAAUACCGCAUACGUCCUACGGGAGAAAGCAGGGGACCUUCGGGCCUUGCGCUAUCAGAUGAGCCUAGGUCGGAUUAGCUAGUUGGUGAGGUAAUGGCUCACCAAGGCGACGAUCCGUAACUGGUCUGAGAGGAUGAUCAGUCACACUGGAACUGAGACACGGUCCAGACUCCUACGGGAGGCAGCAGUGGGGAAUAUUGGACAAUGGGCGAAAGCCUGAUCCAGCCAUGCCGCGUGUGUGAAGAAGGUCUUCGGAUUGUAAAGCACUUUAAGUUGGGAGGAAGGGCAUUAACCUAAUACGUUAGUGUUUUGACGUUACCGACAGAAUAAGCACCGGCUAACUCUGUGCCAGCAGCCGCGGUAAUACAGAGGGUGCAAGCGUUAAUCGGAAUUACUGGGCGUAAAGCGCGCGUAGGUGGUUCGUUAAGUUGGAUGUGAAAUCCCCGGGCUCAACCUGGGAACUGCAUUCAAAACUGUCGAGCUAGAGUAUGGUAGAGGGUGGUGGAAUUUCC
rnacentral:rRNA from 2 species